UGGGUGUGUCGUGGCUGACGCAGUACCCGUACCCGGAAUCCCCCCACCACUGGCGCAGCCCUUCAAGUUAAGCAUCAGAUGACCUGCCCUCUGCAGGUGUAAAACUGGAUGUUGGGAACAUUCCCAAAUCUGCUAGAAGACCGCAUAGAGAUUUCAGGAAUUUAUAUUCUGUUAAAGGGCUCCUAGGGAGAGCUCAGCAGGACUUUGAGAAGCUGGGACAACUGGCAGGUGUACAGUGUGUAGAUGUGCACAGGCCUUCUAUCUGCCAACCAUGACUCUCAGCUUCAACAUUAUGCCAGUACCAACAAGGGAUGAGGAGCUGAUGCUACUGGUGCUACAGAAGGUCCUCAGAAACCUCUGACCAGAGGCUUUAGGCCAGAAGACUAAACUAGGAGUCUGCAUCAAAACCAUCUGAGGAGCUUUUCCAAAGUGCACGUGCCUAGGUCCUGGACAGGUUUCUUUUGAAAAAGUGCCCUGGAUGCACACUGCGCAGUUACCGCAACCAAAGCAGCCGGUCCAGGUUCAUGCCUCAAAUAGCAGAAAGAAGGAAGUUCUUAGAGUACAGAGUUCUGUCUCCUGCCAGCUCUGGGACCCUCUGAGUGGAAACAGUGUGGACUUUGGAGCCACAAAGACCUCCAUUUGAACCAGUUCCCCUGUUUACUAGUGUCCUGGUCUUGCACAUAUGCUUAACCUCUCUGACCCUCAGUUUUUUUAUCUGUGGAAUACAAAUGGUGAACCUGCUUGUCUGAAGAGUAAAUGAGAUACAGCAAGGCCUAACACACACCCUCAACAAAUGGUAGUUCCUGACUCCUAAUCUGGAAAGGAUAAGCCUUCUGCUUGCAAAACUCCUGUGUU